CUUAAUACAUGCAAGUCGAACGAACUUCCGUUAAUUGAUUAUGACGUACUUGUACUGAUUGAGAUUUUAACACGAAGUGAGUGGCGAACGGGUGAGUAACACGUGGGUAACCUGCCCAGAAGUAGGGGAUAACACCUGGAAACAGAUGCUAAUACCGUAUAACAGAGAAAACCGCAUGGUUUUCUUUUAAAAGAUGGCUCUGCUAUCACUUCUGGAUGGACCCGCGGCGUAUUAGCUAGUUGGUGAGGUAAAGGCUCACCAAGGCAGUGAUACGUAGCCGACCUGAGAGGGUAAUCGGCCACAUUGGGACUGAGACACGGCCCAGACUCCUACGGGAGGCAGCAGUAGGGAAUCUUCCACAAUGGACGCAAGUCUGAUGGAGCAACGCCGCGUGAGUGAAGAAGGGUUUCGGCUCGUAAAGCUCUGUUGUUAAAGAAGAACGUGGGUAAGAGUAACUGUUUACCCAGUGACGGUAUUUAACCAGAAAGCCACGGCUAACUACGUGCCAGCAGCCGCGGUAAUACGUAGGUGGCAAGCGUUAUCCGGAUUUAUUGGGCGUAAAGCGAGCGCAGGCGGUCUUUUAAUUCUAAUGUGAAAGCCUUCGGCUCAACCGAAGAAGUGCAUUGGAAACUGGGAGACUUGAGUGCAGAAGAGGACAGUGGAACUCCAUGUGUAGCGGUGAAAUGCGUAGAUAUAUGGAAGAACACCAGUGGCGAAGGCGGCUGUCUGGUCUGCAACUGACGCUGAGGCUCGAAAGCAUGGGUAGCGAACAGGAUUAGAUACCCUGGUAGUCCAUGCCGUAAACGAUGAUUACUAAGUGUUGGAGGGUUUCCGCCCUUCAGUGCUGCAGCUAACGCAUUAAGUAAUCCGCCUGGGGAGUACGACCGCAAGGUUGAAACUCAAAAGAAUUGACGGGGGCCCGCACACGCGGUGGAGCAUGUGGUUUAAUUAGAAGCUACGCGAAGAACCUUACCAGGUCUUGACAUCUUCUGACAGUCUAAGAGAUUAGAGGUUCCCUUCGGGGACAGAAUGACAGGUGGUGCAUGGUUGUCGUCAGCUCGUGUCGUGAGAUGUUGGGUUAAGUCCCGCAACGAGCGCAACCCUUAUUACUAGUUGCCAGCAUUAAGUUGGGCACUCUAAUGAGACUGCCGGUGACAAACCGGAGGAAGGUGGGGACGACGUCCAAUCAUCAUGCCCCUUAUGACCUGGGCUACACACGUGCUACAAUGGAUGGUACAACGAGUCGCGAGACCGCGAGGUUAAGCUAAUCUCUUAAAACCAUUCUCAGUUCGGACUGUAGGUUGCAACUUGCCUACA
rnacentral:rRNA from 1 species